rnacentral:rRNA from 1 species
AGGACGAACGCUGGCGGCGCGCCUAAAACAUGCAAGUCGAACGAGAAACCCGGGCUUGCCCGGGUGGACAGUGGCGAACGGGUGAGUAACACGUGAGGAACCUGCCCCGAAGACCGGGACAACACCGGGAAACCGGUGCUAAUACCGGAUACCUUCACCGAAUCGCAUGGUCUGGUGAAGAAAUGGAUUCCGCUUCGGGAUGGCCUCGCGGCCUAUCAGCUUGUUGGUGAGGUAAUGGCUCACCAAGGCGACGACGGGUAGCUGGUCUGAGAGGAUGUCCAGCCACACUGGGACUGAGACACGGCCCAGACUCCUACGGGAGGCAGCAGUUAGGAAUCUUGCGCAAUGGGCGAAAGCCUGACGCAGCGACGCCGCGUGCGGGAUGAAGGCCUUCGGGUUGUAAACCGCUUUCAGCAGGGACGAAUUGACGGUACCUGCAGAAGAACGCCCCGGCAACUACGUGCCAGCAGCCGC